rnacentral:rRNA from 1 species
UACGAAGGGGGCUAGCGUUGCUCGGAAUCACUGGGCGUAAAGGGUGCGUAGGCGGGUUUUUAAGUCAGGGGUGAAAUCCUGGAGCUCAACUCCAGAACUGCCUUUGAUACUGAAGAUCUUGAGUCCGGGAGAGGUGAGUGGAACUGCGAGUGUAGAGGUGAAAUUCGUAGAUAUUCGCAAGAACACCAGUGGCGAAGGCGGCUCACUGGACCAUAACUGACGCUGAUGCACGAAAGCUGGGGGAGCAAACAGG